rnacentral:rRNA from 2 species
AUGGCUUCGGCUAUCACUUUUGGAUGGUCCCGCGGCGUAUUAGCUAGAUGGUGAGGUAACGGCUCACCAUGGCAAUGAUACGUAGCCGACCUGAGAGGGUAAUCGGCCACAUUGGGACUGAGACACGGCCCAAACUCCUACGGGAGGCAGCAGUAGGGAAUCUUCCACAAUGGACGAAAGUCUGAUGGAGCAACGCCGCGUGAGUGAAGAAGGGUUUCGGCUCGUAAAACUCUGUUGUUAAAGAAGAACAUAUCUGAGAGUAACUGUUCAGGUAUUGACGGUAUUUAACCAGAAAGCCACGGCUAACUACGUGCCAGCAGCCGCGGUAAUACGUAGGUGGCAAGCGUUGUCCGGAUUUAUUGGGCGUAAAGCGAGCGCAGGCGGUUUUUUAAGUCUGAUGUGAAAGCCUUCGGCUCAACCGAAGAAGUGCAUCGGAAACUGGGAAACUUGAGUGCAGAAGAGGACAGUGGAACUCCAUGUGUAGCGGUGAAAUGCGUAGAUAUAUGGAAGAACACCAGUGGCGAAGGCGGCUGUCUGGUCUGUAACUGACGCUGAGGCUCGAAAGUAUGGGUAGCAAACAGGAUUAGAUACCCUGGUAGUCCAUACCGUAAACGAUGAAUGCUAAGUGUUGGAGGGUUUCCGCCCUUCAGUGCUGCAGCUAACGCAUUAAGCAUUCCGCCUGGGGAGUACGGCCGCAAGGCUGAAACUCAAAGGAAUUGACGGGGGCCCGCACAAGCGGUGGAGCAUGUGGUUUAAUUCGAAGCUACGCGAAGAACCUUACCAGGUCUUGACAUACUAUGCAAAUCUAAGAGAUUAGACGUUCCCUUCGGGGACAUGGAUACAGGUGGUGCAUGGUUGUCGUCAGCUCGUGUCGUGAGAUGUUGGGUUAAGUCCCGCAACGAGCGCAACCCUUAUUAUCAGUUGCCAGCAUUAAGUUGGGCACUCUGGUGAGACUGCCGGUGACAAACCGGAGGAAGGUGGGGAUGACGUCAAAUCAUCAUGCCCCUUAUGACCUGGGCUACACACGUGCUACAAUGGAUGGUACAACGAGUUGCGAACUCGCGAGAGUAAGCUAAUCUCUUAAAGCCAUUCUCAGUUCGGAUUGUAGGCUGCAACUCGCCUACAUGAAGUCGGAAUCGCUAGUAAUCGCGGAUCAGCAUGCCGCGGUGAAUACGUUCCCGGGCCUUGUACACACCGCCCGUCACACCAUGAGAGUUUGUAACACCCAAAGUCGGUGG